GGGGUAAUCACGUGAUGAUCUAAAGGAAAUCAAGAUGGCGGCGUUCGUUCCAAAACAGGAAAACGUGUGGCCUACCAAAGGGCUUCCGCAAGAAUAAUAACUGCAAGUGACCACGCGUUCGAUUAGCCUGGAAGGAAGCGAUUAGCCCGGAAGGAAGCGAUUGCCUGGGCGGAAAAGAAUUGACCAUGUCGCCACGGAAAGAAAUGCUGUUCAGAAAGGGGCAAUUGGGUGCGCUGGGAGAAGGCCCGAACUAACUACAGCAAAAUGCUGCCAACCAAAAUAAUGGGCAUAGAGUAAAAUGAC